rnacentral:lncRNA from 1 species
ACACACACACACACACACACACACACACACACACACCUCACAUAGCUAAAUUAGAAAACAUGGUUUUCAAUUUUAUAAAAUUACUGAUUGUUAAUGGGUAAAAAUUCAUUUUUCUUUUAAUAUAUGAAAUAUUAUUUAUGCCCCUGAAAUAUGCCCCUGAAAUAAGCUAAAGUUAACUGUGUUUCUGUCAAAACUAAAUUUACUUAUGACCGAUGUGUACAUUAGCAGUUAUUAGUUGACUUUUAAAAUAAAACGCAACCUCACGAUGAUGUUUUUGUAGAAAUUAAGUAGUCAAAUCGUGGCGUUUCUUGCAGUUUUGUACAGUAUUUGAGUAGAGUGCAAACCAGGUCUGUUCACAACAUCAAUAAAAGGAGCACCUUCUGGAAACAAACUCUCAGCAAAAAAACAAAAACAAAAACAAAAAAAAAAAAAAAAACCUCGCUGUUCUUUGCCUCAUUCAGCUGCCCCGUUUUCUAUUCAAGUAUGAUUUCACUGUGUGUUUUUGCAUGAUUUGUACUCAUACCAGGGUCACAGCUUCAUCCUACUAACAGAAUUCGCUCUGAAGACAACCUUGACCUUAAAACCUUCCUCACG